GCACAGGAACAACAUUGACCAAUACUGAAUGCGAAGAAUGUCAUAACAAAACGUUUUCAAAUAAAUCUUUUUCGCCAUUCUGCAAACCACACACUGAUUGCCAAUCCUUGGGACUUCAGGAAAUUACAGCUGGAACAAACACAUCAGACAGUGUAUGUGGAACAAGAAAUAAUCUUGUUGCUGUGCUUGUGCCUCUGGUGCUUGGAGCAGGAUUAUCAGCUGCUUCAAUAGCAAUCAUUUUAAUUUUAAGAAAGAAGAGAAAACAAAGUUACAGUCUGCAUGUGGUACAGUCUGUUUUAACAGGUUAGAGCCAUUCUGUUCAUAUACAUUACUGUUAUAGUCUGUUCUGCCAGGUUAGAG